GGGCAAUUGGUCUAGUGGUAUGAUUUCCGCUUCGCAUGUGGACUUGUUCGAGUGACAUACAUUGUGGUUCAAUCCCGGUAUUGUCCA